rnacentral:rRNA from 1 species
GACGAACGCUGGCGGCGUGCUUAACACAUGCAAGUCGAACGGAAAGGCCCUGCUUUUGUGGGGUGCUCGAGUGGCGAACGGGUGAGUAACACGUGAGUAACCUGCCCUUGACUUUGGGAUAACUUCAGGAAGCUGGGGCUAAUACCGGAUAGGAGCUCCUGCUGCAUGGUGGGGGUUGGAAAGUUUCGGCGGUUGGGGAUGGACUCGCGGCUUAUCAGCUUGUUGGUGGGGUAGUGGCUUACCAAGGCUUUGACGGGUAGCCGGCCUGAGAGGGUGACCGGCAACAUUGGGACUAAGAUACGGCCCAGACUCCUACGGGAGGCAGCAGUGGGGAAUAUUGCACUAUGGGCGGAAGCCUGAUGCAGCAGCGCCGCGUGCGGGAUGACGGCCUUCGGGUUGUAAACCGCUUUCGCCUGUGACGAAGCGUGAGUGACGGUAAUGGGUAAAGAAGCGCCGGCUAACUACGUG